GACGAACGCUGGCGGCGUGCUUAACACAUGCAAGUCGAACGGAAAGGCCCUGCUUUUGUGGGGCGCUCGAGUGGCGAACGGGUGAGUAAAACGUGAGUAACAUGCCCUUGACUUUGGGAUAACUUCAGGAAACUGGGGCUAAUACAGGAUAGGAGCUCCUGCUGCAUGGUGGGGGUAGGAAAGUUUCGGCGGUUGGGGAUGGACUCGCGGCUUAUCAGCUUGUUGGUGGGGUAGUGGCUGACAAAGGCUUUGAAGGGUAGCCGGCCUGAGAGGGUGACCGGCCACAUUGGGACUGAGAUACGGCCCAGACUCCUACGGGAGGCAGCAGUGGGGAAUAUUGCACAAUGGGCGGAAGCCUGAUGCAGCAACGCCGCGUGCGGGAUGACGGCCUUCGGGUUGUAAACCGCUUUCGCCUGUGACGAAGCGUUAGUGACGGUAAUGGGUAAAGAAGCACCGGCUAACUACGUG
rnacentral:rRNA from 1 species